UGCUGAAGAAAUGGGUCCUGGGAGACACCAUCAACAUGACAAAUCACCAUUCCCAUGGUUUUGAUUGCAGUCUUUAACCACAUGCCUGAACAGCUGGGAACCACUGAAGUAUUGGUAGCCGACUGGGCAGCUGGCCAGCCAACCCCGAAAGCCAGGCAUCUAAUGAGAAGAACCACCAUCCUAAUUCCAAAUGUCACAGCACAGAAGUCAUUCUAUAAACUGGAGAAGGAUUUUUGGAGUAUACGCUUGGUGAACAAGUUUUAAUAACAACAAUUGCCAUAAUAACUGACAUUUAUAUAGCACUGUGCAAUUUAGAGAGUACUUUCACAUGUAUCAUCUCAUUGGUUAACAGCCCCGUGAUAUGGGUGUUAUUAUGAGCCCAUUUGAUAGAUACAUAAAACUCAAAAUGAUUAAGAGGCUGACUCAUAACCACACAAGUAGAAGGUGUGGUCAGUGUGAUUGGAAACUCUGGCCUCUGAAUACAGGGCAUUAGCUGGUAUCUUGAGGGUGCUCCAGAGUCUAGGGUGUGAGUUCCCACUGGCCUGAGGGCUCAGUGGCCCCAGUGUCCCUUUUCUGCAGUGCCUUUUUAGCAUGGGUCAACAAUGGAGGAAGAAAGGAAAGAUUUAGGAAGUAGGGGAGGAGUUCCCAACGUGGCUCAGCAGAAACAAAUCUGGCUAGCAUCCAUGAGGUUCGAUCCCUGGCCUCACUCAGUGGGUUAAGGAUCCGGCAUUGCCGUGAGCUGUGGUGUAGGCCAGUGGCUACAGCUCUGAUUUGACCCCUAGCCUGGGAAUUUCUUUCUUUUUUCUUUUUUUUUUUUUUUUCCUUUUUAGGGCUGCACCCGAGGCAUAUGGAGGUUCCCAGGCUAGGGGUCAAAUCAGAGCUACAGCUGCCAGCCACAGUCACAGCAACGUAGGGUCUGAGCCGUGUUUGCGACCUACACCAGAGCUCACGGCAGUGUGGGAUUCUUAACCCACUGAGCAAGGCCAGGGAUCGAACCUGCAUCCUCAUGGAUCCUAGCUGGGUUUGUUAACCACUGAGCCAUGACAGGAACUCCUAGCCUGGGAACUUCUGUAUGCUGUAAGUACGGCCCUAAAAACAAACAAACAAACAAACAAACACAAGAAGUAGGAGAGAAGAAAGAAAUCCUGGUGAAGGAAUACAACGU
rnacentral:lncRNA from 1 species